rnacentral:misc_RNA from 1 species
UACGAACUGCGCAAACGUUAUUCGGAAUCACUGGGCUUACAGGGUGCGUAGGCGGCCGACCAGGUCAGAUGUGAAAUCCCACAGCUCAACUGUGGAAUGGCAUUUGAAACCGGCCGGCUUGAGUAAGCUAGAGGCAGACGGAACUUCCGGUGGAGCGGUGAAAUGUGUUGAGAUCGGAAGGAACACCAGAGGCGAAAGCGGUCUGCUGGAGCUUGUCUGACGCUGAGGCACGAAAGCCAGGGGAGCGAACGGG